rnacentral:rRNA from 1 species
UUCUGCCACCGAAUACAUUAGCAUGGGAUAAUGGAAUAGGACCCUGUCCUCCUAUUUUCAGUUGGUUUUGGCAGCGCGAGGACUAGGGUAAUGAUUAAUAGGGAUAGUUGGGGGCAUUAAUAUUUAAUUGUCAGAGGUGAAAUUCUUGGAUUUAUGAAAGAUUAACUUCUGCGAAAGCAUCUGCCAAGGAUGUUUUCAUUAAUCAAGAACGAAAGUUAGGGGAUCGAAGACGAUCAGAUACCGUCGUAGUCUUAACCAUAAACGAUGCCGACCAGCGAUUAGGAGACGUUGAAUACAAAACACCACCAUCGGCGCGGUCGUCCUUGGCGUCUCGGUCCUUCACGGGGCCGGGGCGCGGGGGCGGCUUAGCCCGGUGGCACCGGUGAAUGACUCCCUAGCAGCUUGUGAGAA